rnacentral:rRNA from 1 species
ACCAAGACUGCGAUGGUUAGCUGGUCUGAGAGGAUGAUCAGUUACACUGGAACUGGAACACGGUCCAGACUCCUACGGGAGGCAGCAGUGAGGAAUUUUGCGCAAUGGGGGCAACCCUGACGCAGCAACGCCGCGCGAGUGAAGAAGGCCUUUGGGUCGUAAAGCUCUGUCAACUGGGAAGAAAUUAUGAUGAUCCAAUAGGUGGUCAUAUUGACGGUACCAGUGGAGGAAGCGCCGGCUAACUCCGUGCCAGCAGCCGCGGUAACACGGGGGGCGCAAGCGUUAUUCGGAAUUAUUGGGCGUAAAGGGCGCGUAGGCGGUCUUGUCGGUCAGAUGUGAAAGCCCAGGGCUCAACCCUGGACGUGCAUUUGAAACAGCAAGACUUGAGUACGGGAGAGGAAAGCGGAAUUCCUGGUGUAGAGGUGAAAUUCGUAGAUAUCAGGAGGAACACCGAUGGCGAAGGCAGCUUUCUGGACCGAUACUGACGCUGAGGCGCGAAGGCGUGGGUAGCGAACAGGAUUAGAUACCCUGGUAGUCCACGCAGUAAGCGAUGUUCACUCGGUGUGUCGGAUAUUAAAAUCUGAUGUGCCCAAGCUAACGCAUUAAGUGAACCGCCUGGGGAGUACGGUCGCAAGACCAAAACUCAAAGGAAUUGACGGGGGCCCGCACAAGCGGUGGAGCAUGUGGUUUAAUUCGACAACGCGAAGAACCUUACCUGGGUUUGACAUCCUGUGAACGUCCAAGAGAUUGGACAGUGCCUUCGGGAGCACAGUGACAGGUGCUGCAUGGCUGUCGUCAGCUCGUGUCGUGAGAUGUUUGGUUAAGUCCAGCAACGAGCGCAACCCUUAUCGUUAGUUGCCAGCACAUAAUGGUGGGAACUCUAACGAGACUGCCCGGGUUAACCGGGAGGAAGGUGGGGAUGACGUCAAGUCCUCAUGGCCCUUAUACCCAGGGCUACACACGUGCUACAAUGGUAAAUACAGAGGGCAGCGAACUCGCGAGAGUAAGCGAAUCCCUAAAGUUUAUCUCAGUCCGGAUUGGAGUCUGCAACUCGACUCCAUGAAGUUGGAAUCGCUAGUAAUCGCGGAUCAGCAUGCCGCGGUGAAUAUGUUCCCGGGCCUUGUACACACCGCCCGUCACACCAUGGGAGUUGAUUAUACCCGACGUCGCUGGGCUAACCAUUUAUGGGAGCAGGCGCCUAA